rnacentral:tRNA from 1 species
UGGCGGUGUUGUUUGAAUUCGCGGAGAAAACACCUUGUUUCCGCCAGGAGGGUCGGCGGUUCGAUCCCGUCACCGCCGACCA